CCAGUUCCUCUGCAGUGUCUCCCCUGGAAAGUUCUCGAGCGUUCCCUAGCUUUGGGGCCGCGCCCGCCCAGAGAUCUGCCGAGUCAUGGUCCUUGUCCCGCGGCCCGCAGCGGGGGAUGGGGGCGGCCCCAGGGAGCCCCCGCGACGAGGCUGGGACUGAGGAAGGUUGAGGGGGGCUGAGCAAAGAAGCCCAGUCAUCAUCUCAAAUGUGACCCAAAAUAAAGACCCGUCCAUCCCGCGGGGUGGGCUAGGGUAGGUCGCGCCGGAGGGCAGGCGCUCAGUUCGCGCCCCAAGUCCACCGAACACGAGUUGGCGACCCGAGGCGACCGCGGGGGCUGAGGGGAAGGGGUGCAGGGCCGCAGCUCAGGAACGCGGGCCGCCCACCGGCUCCAGGUGCUGCGGCUCCGCGCCGGGUUUUGGCGCCUCCCGUCGGCGCCCCCCCCCCCCCCACCAACGGCGAGCGCCGCUACGUCACUAUCACAGUGCGCAGCCAGAGCCUUGAUCCCUCCGCCCGGCCUCUCAGGACGGCGGCCUGCUGCCCACCAGACUCGGCCCAGAACCCCAGUCUCAGCAGGAGGACAUUUUAGGACGGGACCUGGGUGACGCUAGGUAACUGGUUUUCUUUCCAGAGAGCAGAACAAGCGGGGAAAAGUAGUCCCUUCUCGGCGAUUCUGCGGAGGGAUCUCCUCGGGGCGGUGAACGCCGAUGUCUAUAUAAGGACGCGCCGGGUGUGGUGCAGCUAGUUCCGUCGCAGCCGCGAGUGCAGCCGUUCCUGUUUUUCGUCAGUUGCUGUCAUCUCCGCUUGACAAUGCAGAUCUUCGUGAAGACACUGACCGGCAAGACCAUCACCCUCGAGGUGGAGC